rnacentral:rRNA from 1 species
GACGAACGCUGGCGGCGCGCUUAACACAUGCAAGUCGAGCGAAGCGGCGGACGGGUGAGUAACACGUGAGUAACCUGCCUUAGACAUUGGGAUAGCCUCGGGAAACCGGGAUUAAUACCAAAUGGUCUAAGAUGGACUCGCGUCCCAUUAGCUAGUUGGUGGGUAACGGCCCACCAAGGCGACGAUGGGUAGCCGGCGUGUGAGGGUGAGCGGCCACAUUUGAACUGGGAAACGGUCCGAACUCUACGGAAGGCAGCAGUGGGGAAUCGUGCACAAUGGAGGGAACUCUGAUGCAGCGACGCCGCGUGAACGAAGAUGGCUUUCGAGUCGUAAAGUUCUUUUAUAUGGGAAGCGGUACCAUAAGAAAAAGCCCCGGCUAACUACGUGCCAGCCGCCGCGGUAAUUC